rnacentral:rRNA from 1 species
AUUGAACGCUGGCGGCAUGCCUUACACAUGCAAGUCGAACGGCAGCGCGGGGGCAACCCUGGCGGCGAGUGGCGAACGGGUGAGUAAUAUAUCGGAACGUACCCAAGAGUGGGGAUAACGUAGCGAAAGUUACGCUAAUACCGCAUACGAUCUAAGGAUGAAAGCAGGGGACCGCAAGGCCUUGUGCUCCUGGAGCGGCCGAUAUCUGAUUAGCUAGUUGGUGGGGUAAAGGCCUACCAAGGCAUCGAUCAGUAGCUGGUCUGAGAGGACGACCAGCCACACUGGGACUGAGACACGGCCCAGACUCCUACGGGAGGCAGCAGUGGGGAAUUUUGGACAAUGGGGGCAACCCUGAUCCAGCAAUGCCGCGUGAGUGAAGAAGGCCUUCGGUGUAAACUCUUUAGCCGACGAUUAUAAUGACUGUAGUCGGAGAAUAAGACCCCGGCUAACUUCGUGCCAGCAGCCGCGGUAAU